rnacentral:rRNA from 1 species
UACGUAGGAGGCAAGCGUUGUCCGGAAUUACUGGGCGUAAAGCGCGUGUAGGUGGUGGGACAAGUCUGCUGUGAAAGCGCCUGGCUUAACCGGGCGAGGUCGGCGGAAACUGUUCGACUCGAGGACGGUAGAGGGGGGUGGAAUUCCCGGUGUAGUGGUGAAAUGCGUAGAGAUCGGGAGGAACACCUGUGGCGAAGGCGACACGCUGGGCCGUACCUGACACUGAACCGCGACAGCAUGGGGAGCAAACAGG